CGCGUGGGAAUUUACCUAAUAGUAUGGAAUAACAUUCAGAAAUGAAUGCUAAUACCGUAUAAGCCCUGAGGGGAAGAUUUAUCGCUAUUAGAUAAGCCCGCGUUGGAUUAGCUUGUUGGUAAGGUAAUGGCUUACCAAGGCUACGAUCCAUAGCUGGUCUGAGAGGAUGAUCAGCCACACUGGGACUGACACACGGCCCAGACUCCUACGGGAGGCAGCAGUGGGGAAUAUUGGACAAUGGGCGAAAGCCUGAUCCAGCAAUGCCACGUGAGUGAUGAAGGCCUUCGGUUGUAAAGCUCU
rnacentral:rRNA from 1 species